AUACGAAGGGGGCAAGCGUUGUUCGGAAUAACUGGGCGUAAAGCGCACGUAGGCGGAAUGUUAAGUUAGAGGUGAAAUCCCAGGGCUCAACCCUGGAACGGCCUUUAAUACUGGCAAUCUAGAGACCGAGAGAGGUGAGUGGAAUUCCGAGUGUAGAGGUGAAAUUCGUAGAUAUUCGGAGGAACACCAGUGGCGAAGGUGGCUCACUGGCUCGGUACUGACGCUGAGGUGCGAAAGCGUGGGGAGCAAACAGGAUUAGAAACCCUAGUAGUCCC
rnacentral:rRNA from 1 species